rnacentral:rRNA from 1 species
GGAUUAGAUACCCUGGUAGUCCAUGCCGUAAACGUUGGGCACUAGGUGUGGGGGACAUUCCACGUUUUCCGCGCCGUAGCUAACGCAUUAAGUGCCCCGCCUGGGGAGUACGGCCGCAAGGCUAAAACUCAAAGAAAUUGACGGGGGCCCGCACAAGCGGCGGAGCAUGCGGAUUAAUUCGAUGCAACGCGAAGAACCUUACCAAGGCUUGACAUAUACUGGACCGCAUCAGAGAUGGUGUUUCCCUUCGGGGCUGGUAUACAGGUGGUGCAUGGUUGUCGUCAGCUCGUGCCG